rfam:Salmo salar isolate Sally breed double haploid chromosome ssa21, whole genome shotgun sequence.
UGCAAUCACUACUGUAAGUCGCUCUAGAUAAGAGCGUCUGCUAAAUGACUAAAA